UUCCGGUUGAUCCCGCCGGAGGCCACUGCUAUGGGGGUCCGACUAAGCCAUGCGAGUCAUGGGGCGCGCUCUGCGCGCACCGGCGGACGGCUCAGUAACACGUCGGUAACCUACCCUCGGGAGGGGGAUAACCCCGGGAAACUGGGGCUAAUCCCCCAUAGGCCUGGGGUACUGGAAGGUCCCCAGGCCGAAAGGGCGUAAGCCGCCCGAGGAUGGGCCGGCGGCCGAUUAGGUAGUUGGUGGGGUAACGGCCCACCAAGCCGAAGAUCGGUACGGGCCAUGAGAGUGGGAGCCCGGAGAUGGACACUGAGACACGGGUCCAGGCCCUACGGGGCGCAGCAGGCGCGAAACCUCCGCAAUGCGGGAAACCGCGACGGGGGGACCCCCAGUGCCGUGGCAACGCCACGGCUUUUCCGGAGUGUAAAAAGCUCCGGGAAUAAGGGCUGGGCAAGGCCGGUGGCAGCCGCCGCGGUAAUACCGGCGGCCCAAGUGGUGGCCGCUAUUAUUGGGCCUAAAGCGUCCGUAGCCGGGCCCGUAAGUCCCUGGCGAAAUCCCACGGCUCAACCGUGGGGCUUGCUGGGGAUACUGCGGGCCUUGGGACCGGGAGAGGCCGGGGGUACCCCUGGGGUAGGGGCGAAGUCCUGUAAUCCCAGGGGGACCGCCAGUGGCGAAGGCGCCCGGCUGGAACGGGUCCGACGGUGAGGGACGAAGGCCAGGGGAGCGAACCGGAUUAGAUACCCGGGUAGUCCUGGCUGUAAAGGAUGCGGGCUAGGUGUCGGGCGAGCUUCGAGCUCGCCCGGUGCCGAAGGGAAGCCGUUAAGCCCGCCGCCUGGGGAGUACGGCCGCAAGGCUGAAACUUAAAGGAAUUGGCGGGGGAGCACUACAAGGGGUGGAGCGUGCGGUUUAAUUGGAAUCAACGCCGGA
rnacentral:rRNA from 1 species